rnacentral:rRNA from 2 species
UACGAAGGGGGCUAGCGUUGCUCGGAAUCACUGGGCGUAAAGGGUGCGUAGGCGGGUUUUUAAGUCAGAGGUGAAAUCCUGGAGCUCAACUCCAGAACUGCCUUUGAUACUGGAAAUCUUGAGUAUGGGAGAGGUGAGUGGAACUGCGAGUGUAGAGGUGAAAUUCGUAGAUAUUCGCAAGAACACCAGUGGCGAAGGCGGCUCACUGGCCCAUAACUGACGCUGAGGCACGAAAGCGUGGGGAGCAAACAGG